CCAACUUAUCAUUCAACUCCUUUUUCUUCCCUUACUGAUUUCCCAAUUUAAAAUCAGAUUUUAAUUUUGUUUCCCACCUAAUUUCCAAUUCCUCACCCAUAAAUCAAAGUAGAAUAUAUAUUAAGAUCAUCCCUGAAAAGGUUUCAUGAUGAAUUUAACAUGAGCUUACAUACAUUACAUAAACAGUGCAAAAUACUUGAAUAUGCCUACAUAACAUAGAUACCAACAAGAGGUUGUAUCAUAUCUUCAUUUCUGGCUCUUCUUCUUCCACAAGUCUCCAAACAUUUUAAUGCCAGAGGCCUUCUUUUUUCCACUUCCAAAACCAUCAUCAUAGUCAUCAGACAUUCCUGGUGAUCCCACAAAACUAGUGUACCCACCACCACCUGGUGUUACGAAUACACCACCAAAGUGCUUAUCCAUGGAGCCACACCUCUCGGAAAUCCUACUGUUCAUCUCCACUGCCCCAGCGAGUACUGCUGCUGCUGCAUCUGCUGCUUUUCUCCAUUGCUCUGUCUGCACCCUCAUUUUCCUUAUUUCAGCUUCCAAGGCUUCCUUGGCUCCUUCUGCAGAUUCCAGCUUAUCCUUUAAAUGAGCUGCACUUGCUUGGCUUUUUUCCAGCUCUUCUCCCAGUUGGCUUAACCUUGUGGACAUCUUGUCUUCCUUAGCUUUAGCAGAUGAAAUGUUUGAGGUUGCUUCAUUCAGUAGAUUCUUCAAAUUCUCAUUCUCUUUUCCGAACGCCUCCAAUUCAUUUUCUUUCUUUUCUAACUUGGCUUUUAGCAUGUUUAUCUCAUCAUCCUUUAAAGUCAAGUCAUGGAAUGAUGGCUUUUCUGGCUCUGAAAUUGCUAGUGGUUCGGUUGUCAUUUUAGUUGUCCAGUUUCCUUUUUCUACCUGAUCAAUCAGGUGGCCAGGUUCAGCCUUGGCCUCCACAGCCUCUUUUUCUACUGGAACUUCAAAAACAUCAGUUUCCUGCUGGUUUUCAUCAGAUACUUUGUCCACAAUGUUGUUCUCUGCCUUUUCAAGAUCCUGAAUUUCAGUUGGAGGAUGCUUUUCUUGAAUUUCCUCAGGCUCCAGAAUAGCUGGUGUCUUUGUAUUCUUCUCCAAUUCUUGCUGAGCUUCUUGCUUUGCAGCUUCAGCAGAAGCCAACUGUCCUUUCAAAAUCUUCAGCUCUUCCUGUGCUUGGCCAAGUUGGGAUUCUAAAUCUGCAAUACGGGUGCCUAGUUUCUUUUGGUUCAGUGAGUCAGGAUGCGAACCUCGAGGGGAGCGACGGUCUCCCAGCUUGGGACUUCGCUCAGUAAUUAGUCGAUUAUGCUGUGGAUCUGACUCAGAGCUAGAUGUCCUAAGUGGAUGUGGACCUCGAGGCGACUGCCUUUGAGGCAUUUCUGAACCCCUGUUCAUCACAAAAUCACAAGAUGGUAGACAUUAAAUUGUGCAAACAAAAGAAAUGCAUGACUUACUUCCAGUCACAUAAUCACACAACAUUUCUCAUAAUUUGACACAUACAGAUCUUCUGUAAAUUAAUGGAUUCCAGAUUAAAUAAUAAAUAGAGAGCAGAAUGAGCCUGUAAGUGAUGAAUGAUGAAACAAAUAUCUUAAUCUUUGUGAAACCCCCAUUAAAGCAUGCACGUGCAUGCCAUAAAAUCAGGCAGCCGCAUCUAACUUUGUUGCAUAGACAAGUAUCUCAUGUCUGAUUUCAUUUCAUGCUCAACACAAGUGCAAGAGAAUAACAAAACAGCAUGCACAAAUAAAACAAGGCAUAAUCCAACUCUUGCGCACAGUAAAUGCUGCAGAAUUAGGCAUAACCUUCACCAAUCAGGAAGUCCAUAUACGCAUCUUUAAUACCAGUAGUCAACAUGCUUAUAUAUUUGCUAAACUUUGCACUAGGAGAAAUACAAAUGAAAAAAAAUCAAAAGACAACACAAUUCACAAGUAUAUGAGAACUACAUAUUGGUGACAAAUUGGGUUUACUUACCUUGAUCUUGGCAUUUGAUCAGCUUAAGGAAUAUUGGUUGAAGAACUGCAAGGAAUGUAUAGAGAAUUGUUCUCUGAAGAAUCU
rnacentral:misc_RNA from 1 species